AGUGAACGCUGGCGGUAGGCCUAACACAUGCAAGUCGAACGGCAGCACAGGAGAGCUUGCUCUCUGGGUGGCGAGUGGCGGACGGGUGAGGAAUACAUCGGAAUCUACUCUGUCGUGGGGGAUAACGUAGGGAAACUUACGCUAAUACCGCAUACGACCUACGGGUGAAAGCAGGGGACCUUCGGGCCUUGCGCGAUUGAAUGAGCCGAUGUCGGAUUAGCUAGUUGGCGGGGUAAAGGCCCACCAAGGCGCCGAUCCGUAGCUGGUCUGAUAGGGUGGACAUCGACACUGGAACUGAGGCACGGUCCAGACUCCUACGGGAGGCAGAAUUGGGGAAUAUUGGACCAUGGGCGCAAGCCUGAUCCAGCCAUACCGCGUGGGUGAAGAAGGCCUUCGGGUUGUACAGCCCUUUUGUUGGGAAAGAAAUCCAGCUGGCUAAUACCCGGUUGGGAUGACGGUACCCAAAGAAUAAGCACCGGCUAACUUCGUGCCAGCAGCCGCCGUAA
rnacentral:rRNA from 1 species